rnacentral:rRNA from 1 species
UACGAAGGGGGCUAGCGUUGCUCGGAAUCACUGGGCGUAAAGCGCACGCAGGCGGAUCGAUAAGUCAGGGGUGAAAUCCCGGAGCUCAACUUCGGAAUUGCCUUUGAUACUGUCUGUCUUGAGUCCGGGAGAGGUGAGUGGAAUUCCUAGUGUAGAGGUGAAAUGCGUAGAUAUCGAGAGGAACACCUGCGGCGAAGGCGGGUUGCUGGGCCGACACUGACGCUGAUGCGCGAAAGCCAGGGGAGCGAACGGG